UACACAGCCAAAGUGAGAACUUCACAGUCAGAGGGAGAGGGGUAAUACCUGCUGCAGCUGGCAGCUGGAAUAGCUGUGAAGUUGCAACUGGAGGAAAAUGAGGAAAAAUGCUUCCUUGCUACUCUGCAAGCCUGCAUCUAUUUAAGCCAAGCAUAUUGUGGUAACUCAAGCUGGAAGAAGAACACUGAACUAGAAAAAUAUUUGUUCUAACCAUGUAUGGUCAGAAACACCU
rnacentral:lncRNA from 1 species